rnacentral:lncRNA from 10 species
CAUUGAAAUAGCAAUUUGUUUACCAAAAAGUGUGAUAUACAAUCAGCAGGAAUCAUAGCACUGAUACUCACAUUUUACAUCAUAAAUGUUUUAAAAAUGACAUUCUCAAAUAUUUUUAUUGUUGAAAAUCAGACAUGGCAAGAAUCUUAAUUAUGGCUAAUCUGGACAAGACAUUUAAAUGAUCAUGAAUUAUGAUGGGGCAAACGCUUCUAAUUCAUGCUAGCGAUGUCAGUAUUCCUCAGUCUCUUAAAAUAAGUUAUUUCAUGUGAUUAAUAGAUGAGAAAAGAAUAUUACAUUUUCUUUUUAUGCAUUAAGAGUUUGGGGCAAAGCCAGGCACGGUGACCCAUACCUAUAAUCCCAGCACUUUGGGAGGUCAAGGCAGGAGGAUCAUUUAAGGCUAGGAGUUUGAAACCAGCCUAGGCAAUAUGACAAAACCUUGUCUCUGCAAAAAUACAAAAAGUAGCCAGGCAUGGUGGUACAUACCUGUAAUCCCAGCUACUAGGGAGG